rnacentral:rRNA from 1 species
AUACGGAGGGUGCAAGCGUUAUCCGGAAUCAUUGGGUUUAAAGGGUCCGUAGGCGGGCAAAUAAGUCAGAGGUGAAAUCCCACAGCUCAACUGUGGAACUGCCUUUGAUACUGUUUGUCUUGAGUUAUAGUGAAGUAGAUAGAAUAUGUAGUGUAGCGGUGAAAUGCAUAGAUAUUACAUAGAAUACCGAUUGCGAAGGCAGUCUACUAACUAUUGACUGACGCUAAUGGACGAAAGCGUGGGGAGCGAACAGGAUUAGAUACCCUAGUAGUCC